GACGAACGCUGGCGGCGUGCUUAACACAUGCAAGUCGAACGGAAAGGCCCUGCUUUUGUGGGGUGCUCGAGUGGCGAACGGGUGAGUAACACGUGAGUAACCUGCCCUUGACUUUGGGAUAACUUCAGGAAACUGGGGCUAAUACCGGAUAGGUGCUCCUGCUGCAUGGUGGGGGUUGGAAAGUUUCGGCGGUUGGGGAUGGACUUGGGGCUUACCAGCUUGUUGGGGGGGGAGUGGCUUACCAAGGCUUUGACGGGUAGCCGGCCUGGGAGGGUGAUCGGCCACAUUGGGACUGAGAUACGGCCCAGACGCGUACGGGGGGCAGCAGUGGGGAAUAUUGCACAGUGGGCGGGAGCCUGAUGCAGCAACGCCGCGUGCGGGAUGACGGCCUUCGGGUUGUAAACCGCUUUCGCCUGUGACGAAGCGUGAGUGACGGUAAUGGGUAAAGAAGCACCGGCUAACUACGUG
rnacentral:rRNA from 1 species